rnacentral:rRNA from 1 species
GACGAACGCUGGCGGCGUGCUUAACACAUGCAAGUCGAACGAUGAAGCCGGAGCUUGCUCCGGUGGAUUAGUGGCGAACGGGUGAGUAACACGUGAGCAAUCUGCCCUUGACUUUGGGAUAACUGCGGGAAACUGUAGCUAAUACCGGAUACGACACCUUGGGGCAUCCCAGGGUGUGGAAAGAAUUUCGGUCAAGGAUGAGCUCGCGGCCUAUCAGCUAGUUGGUGAGGUAAUGGCUCACCAAGGCGACGACGGGUAGCCGGCCUGAGAGGGUGACCGGCCAAACUGGAACUGAGACACGGUCCAGACUCCUACGGGAGGCAGCAGUGGGGAAUAUUGCACAAUGGGCGAAAGCCUGAUGCAGCAACGCCGCGUGAGGGAUGAAGGCCUUCGGGUUGUAAACCUCUUUUAGCAGGGAAGAAGCGAAAGUGACGGUACCUGCAGAAAAAGCACCGGCUAACUACGUGCCAGCAGCCGCGGUAA